CAAUGAUUGAAACACUGAAGAGAUACGUUUAUGGUCCGUGCUAUCCGGGAUCCUUGGGACAUCGCUACCCCAUUGACAUUUAAAAUGGUUAAGUGGAGCGAUGAUCAACUGCAUGCGUUUUAUGAAAAUGAAGUGUAAGAGAAUGUGGACCUCCCAAUUUUUGCAAAACGGCUUUAAGAUGGUGAGUGCCUGAACUUUUUCCCCAAGUAAGCCAUUAUAUCUCCAAUGCAUUUUUGAUAUUAUGCAUGUAUGACAUGUAUUCUAUGCCGGAGGUCCAGAACAGAUAUCCUCAUAUUUAAACACCCAGACUUCUGUAGUCACAGAGAUGAGAGAAGUUGACAAGGAAUUGUCCAGCUGCGCGUGCAAGGUCCAUGGUGAAGAGAGAAACAGCUGAGAGCACAAAGCCCCCUGGACAUGCUAUGACCACAAUUGUAUGCCCUUUCUAUUAUAUUUUUGUGGUUUUCAUAUAGGCUACUACUGACAUUGUUUCAAAAUUAUUUGGGAUGUUUUUGUUUACCUAUAGUGUUCCAUAAAAUAUGUCCAUAAUAAUGUUUGCUAUUUUAGUGAGUUUUCAUAAGUUGAACUGA
rnacentral:lncRNA from 1 species